rnacentral:rRNA from 1 species
UUUGGCAUGGGCGCAAGCCUGAUCCANCCAUGCCGCGUGCNNGAAGAAGGCCUUCGGGUUGUAAACUGCUUUUGUACGGAACGAAACGGUCUGGGUUAAUACCUNGGGCUAAUGACGGUACCGUAAGAAUAAGCACCGGCUAACUACGUGCCAGCAGCCGCGGUAAUACGUAGGGUGCAAGCGUUAAUCGGAAUUACUGGGCGUAAAGCGUGCGCAGGCGGUNNUGUAAGACAGUCGUGAAAUCCCCGGGCUCAACCUGGGAAUUGCGAUUGUGACUGCAUCGCUGGAGUGCGGCAGAGGGGGAUGGAAUUCCGCGUGUAGCAGUGAAAUGCGUAGAUAUGCGGAGGAACACCGAUGGCGAAGGCAAUCCCCUGGGCCUGCACUGACGCUCAUGCACGAAAGCGUGGGGAGCAAACAGGAUUAGAUACCCUGGUAGUCCACGCCCUAAACGAUGUCAACUGGUUGUUGGGUCUCUUCUGACUCAGUAACNAAGCUAACGCGUGAAGUUGACCGCCUGGGGAGUUACGGCCGCAAGGUUGAAACUCAA